AUGAACGCUGGCGGCGUGCCUAAUACAUGCCAGUCGAGCGAACAGACGAGGAGCUUGCUCCUCUGACGUUAGCGGCGGACGGGUGAGUAACACGUGGAUAACCUACCUAUAAGACUGGGAUAACUUCGGGAAACCGGAGCUAAUACCGGAUAAUAUAUUGAACCGCAUGGUUCAAUAGUGAAAGACGGUUUUGCUGUCACUUAUAGAUGGAUCCGCGCCGCAUUAGCUAGUUGGUAAGGUAACGGCUUACCAAGGCAACGAUGCGUAGCCGACCUGAGAGGGUGAUCGGCCACACUGGAACUGAGACACGGUCCAGACUCCUACGGGAGGCAGCAGUAGGGAAUCUUCCGCAAUGGGCGAAAGCCUGACGGAGCAACGCCGCGUGAGUGAUGAAGGUCUUCGGAUCGUAAAACUCUGUUAUUAGGGAAGAACAAAUGUGUAAGUAACUAUGCACGUCUUGACGGUACCUAAUCAGAAAGCCACGGCUAACUUCGUG
rnacentral:rRNA from 1 species